GAGUUGGGGGAAGUUUGAUUAUCCUUUUUGUACGAUGAAUAAAGUUGGGGCCUCAGUGCAUAGGUUUUUUCUGGUUUUGGUUUCUUUGUAGGAUUGUUUUUGAAGCUUGGAUUGUACUCUUAUGGGAAGCCAGCCCAUCGGAAUAUGGAAACAGGGCACAGCCCCCUCUUCUUUUGGGUUUAUAGUCAGGUGAAAAUGUUUGAUGGAAUUCUGUAGGACCUCUCUGCAAACAACUUCAUACAAUUCCUCUAUCAGAAUAUACAUCUUUACACACAGUUUCAUCCAAUACCUUUAUCAGAAUGUAACAUCCGAACAAUAUUUUUACUUGGCAAUUGGCAUGAAUAUUGUCAAUGCAUCA
rnacentral:misc_RNA from 1 species